UGGGGAAUAUUGGACAAUGGGGGCAACCCUGAUCCAGCAAUGCCGCGUGUGUGAAGAAGGUCUUCGGAUUGUAAAGCACUUUCGACGGGGACGAUGAUGACGGUACCCGUAGAAGAAGCCCCGGCUAACUUCGUGCCAGCAGCCGCGGUAAUACGAAGGGGGCUAGCGUUGCUCGGAAUGACUGGGCGUAAAGGGCGUGUAGGCGGUUUACACAGUCAGAUGUGAAAUCCCCGGGCUUAACCUGGGAGCUGCAUUUGAUACGUGUAGACUAGAGUGUGAGAGAGGGUUGUGGAAUUCCCAGUGUAGAGGUGAAAUUCGUAGAUAUUGGGAAGAACACCGGUGGCGAAGGCGGCAACCUGGCUCAUGACUGACGCUGAGGCGCGAAAAGCGUGGGGAGCAAAACAGGAUUAGAUACCCUGGUAGUCCACGCUGUAAAACGAUGUGUGCUAGAUGUUGGGUAACUUUGUUAUUCAGUGUCGCAGUUAACGCGUUAAGCACA
rnacentral:rRNA from 1 species